UCCGAGUUCUAGAUGAGAAGAGUAGGUCAUCUGGACUGCGUGGUGUCCAAGUACAAUAGGCCGUCAGUGGGACAUCAUAGAGGGUGACAAUCCCGUCCUUGACAUCAACGUACGAGUCCAUUACGAUGCCUAUCUCAGAGAGUCGAGCAGUUUGGGAUUUGCUGCUUAAACAUGGGAGGUAGAUUCCUUCUAAAGCUAAAUACAGGCAAGAGACCGAUAGAGAACAAGUACCGCAAGGGAAAGAUGAAAUAGAACUCUGUGAAGGGAGUCAAAAGACGUGAAAUUGUUGCGAGAGAAGCGAUUCAAGUCAGCGUAGCUAGGCCCAUCAAGCCUCGUUGCUUUGGACUAGCUUUGCCAGCGGUCUUGUCCCUUUUAAGAGACUCGACAAAACGACGUGCCCUGCCCGGUCUAACGGGCAGGACCCCUCCCCAGGGGGGGCCCAGUGGCAUGGCUGGUGGAAUGGCUUGCAAUCGACCCGUCUUGAAACACGGACCAAGGAGUCUAACAUGUGUGCGAGUAUAAGGGUGGCAAACCCGUAUGCGCAAAGAAAGUGAUAGCCUUUUAUGGCUGAGAAUGGCCUGAUGACCAGACAAGCAAUAUCAUGUUCCUCGUACGGUCAUUGCCCAAGUCCCGUGGUCAGAUCCCAUGGACAUGGAGUUAGAGCAUACAUGCUAGGACCCGAAAGAUGGUGAACUAUGCCUGGACAAAGCGAAGCCAAAGGAAACUCUGGUGGAGGCUUGUAGCGAUUCUGACGUGCAAAUCGAUCGUCUGAUCUGGGUAUAGGGGCGAAAGACUAAUCGAACCAUCUCAUAGCUGGUUCCUGCCGAAGUUUCCCUCAGGAUAGCAGAGACCUUGUAGAAGUUGCAUGUGGUAAAGCGAAUGAUUAUUGACCCUGGGGCUCAAAUGGGCCUCAAUCUAUUCUCAAACUGUGAAUGCGUGCGGUUGGACUGUGCUUUGCGUAGAAGCCCUGCCAGCAAUGCUUCAGUCUCUAGUGGGCCGUUUCUGGUAAGCAGAACU
rnacentral:rRNA from 1 species